GGGUCCGUGGCUUAGGUUGGUUAGAGCGUCCGGCUGAUAACCGGGAGGUCUCGAGUUCAAAUCUCGACGGACCCA
rfam:Thermoplasmatales archaeon DG-70-1 WOR1_52_54_246, whole genome shotgun sequence.